UACGUAGGGACCAAGCGUUGUUCGGAUUUACUGGGCGUAAAGGGCGCGUAGGCGGCGUGGUAAGUCGCUUGUGAAAUCUCUGAGCUUAACUCAGAACGGUCAAGUGAUACUGCUGUGCUAGAGUGCGGAAGGGGCAAUCGGAAUUCUUGGUGUAGCGGUGAAAUGCGUAGAUAUCAGGAGGAACACCGGUGGCGAAGGCGGGUCUCUGGGCCGAUACUGACACUGAGGAGCGAAAGCGUGGAGAGCGAACAGG
rnacentral:rRNA from 1 species